rnacentral:rRNA from 1 species
AGUGAACGCUGGCGGUAGGCCUAACACAUGCAAGUCGAACGGCAGCACAGUAAGAGCUUGCUCUUACGGGUGGCGAGUGGCGGACGGGUGAGGAAUACAUCGGAAUCUACUUUUUCGUGGGGGAUAACGUAGGGAAACUUACGCUAAUACCGCAUACGACCUAUGGGUGAAAGCAGGGGAUCUUCGGACCUUGCGCGAUUGAAUGAGCCGAUGUCGGAUUAGCUAGUUGGCGGGGUAAAGGCCCACCAAGGCGACGAUCCGUAGCUGGUCUGAGAGGAUGAUCAGCCACACUGGAACUGAGACACGGUCCAGACUCCUACGGGAGGCAGCAGUGGGGAAUAUUGGACAAUGGGCGCAAGCCUGAUCCAGCCAUACCGCGUGGGUGAAGAAGGCCUUCGGGUUGUAAAGCCCUUUUGUUGGGAAAGAAAAGCAGCAGGUUAAUACCCCGCUGUUCUGACGGUACCCAAAGAAUAAGCACCGGCUGACUUCGUG